rnacentral:rRNA from 1 species
GAUUUCCGAAUGGGGGAACCCACUACGUUUAAUCGCGUAGUAUCUUGACGUGAAUACAUAGCGUCUUGAUGGCAGACCCAGGGAACUGAAACAUCUAAGUACCUGGAGGAAGAGAAAGAAAAAUCGAUUCCCUGAGUAGCGGCGAGCGAAACGGGAAGAGCCCAAACCAAGAGGCUUGCCUCUUGGGGGUGUAGGACACUCUAUACGGAGUUACAAAAGAGCGAGUUAGAUGAAGCGACUUGGAAAGGUCCGCCAGAGCAGGUAAAAGCCCUGUAGUCGAAAGUUCGUUCUCUCCUGAGUGGAUCCUGAGUACGGCGGAACACGUGAAAUUCCGUCGGAAUCCGGGAGGACCAUCUCCCAAGGCUAAAUACUACCUAGUGACCGAUAGUGAACCAGUACCGUGAGGGAAAGGUGAAAAGCACCCCGGAAGGGGAGUGAAAGAGAUCCUGAAACCGUGUGCCUACAAGUAGUUAGAGCCCGUUAAUGGGUGAUAGCGUGCCUUUUGUAGAAUGAACCGGCGAGUUACGAUUACGUGCAAGGUUAAGCUUUAGAAGGCGGAGCCGCAGCGAAAGCGAGUCUGAAUAGGGCGAAUUAGUACGUG